CGUGUAGGCGGCUGGAUCAGUCAGAUGUGAAAUCCCUGGGCUUAACCCAGGACGUGCAUUUGAAACUGUCCGGCUGGAGUAGGGGAGAGGAAAGGUGGAAUUCCUGGUGUAGAGGUGAAAUUCGUAGAUAUCAGGAGGAACACCGGUGGCGAAGGCGACUUUCUGGCCCUAUACUGACGCUGAGACGCGAGAGCGUGGGUAGCAAACA
rnacentral:rRNA from 1 species